rnacentral:rRNA from 1 species
GACGAACGCUGGCGGCGUGCCUAACACAUGCAAGCCGAGCGAAGUGAGUACUACGGUACGAACUUAGCGGCGGACGGGUGAGUAACGCGUGGACAAUCUACCCUGUAGACUGGGAUAACACCUCGAAAGGGGUGCUAAUACCGGAUAAUGUCGAGAAGCGGCAUCGCUUUUCGAAGAAAGGAGAGAAUCCGCUAUAGGAGGAGUCCGCGUCCCAUUAGCUAGUUGGCGAGGGUAACGGCCCACCAAGGCGACGAUGGGUAGCCGGCCUGGGAGGGUGAACGGCCACACUGGAACUGAGACACGGUCCAGACUCCUACGGGAGGCAGCAGUGGGGAAUAUUGUGCAAUGGGGGAAACCCUGACACAGCAACGCCGCGUGAGCGAAGAAGGCCUUCGGGUUGUAAAGCUCAAUAGUAUGGGAAGAUAAUGACGGUACCAUACGAAAGCCCCGGCUAACUACGUGCCAGCAGCCGCCGUAACAC